CCGGUGGCCCAAUUUCAUAAUAUGCCAAAUUCCCAAAUUCAAAUCCCUAAACAACUAAACUCUGAACUCUCUCGUCAGUUACUCACACUCAGUCGUCGACUAGUCUCUCCGACUCUCUGGCUCUCCCGCUCUCCCUCACUCGUCACUUUAGUCUGACUUCACUUGGCUGUCGCAAAAUCAAGGUGCAAACUCACAGUGGUCUCGAGAUUAAGGACUGCUCGUUUUGAGUUUUGUUGGUGUUCUGGCAUUAGCUUGCAAAUCCAGGGGUUCAUGUCUCCGAGUUCAUUUCAAGGGAAGAAAUUGGAAGUAGGUGAAGGUGAGGCUUCAAAUGAAAGCCUACCUAACACUUCAUCUCCAAAUGAAGUUGAAGUUAAUGUUGAUACUUCAAAGAAAAGAAAAGUCAAGGAACCUAGGGCUGCUUGUUGGAAGCAUUUUGAUAAGUUCACUGACAAAAUUGGAGCUCCGAAAGCAAAAUGUAAGUAUUGUGGGAAAAUUUAUGCAACUAAAACAAAAAGUAAUGGUACUACGACAAUGAAUAACCAUUUGUUGAAUAAGUGUCCUAAACUUCCCAGGACCGUAGAUGAUGGUUAAAAAUCAAUAAGCUUUCUACCAUCUUCAACGAAAGCGAAGAAAGGGGUGAUUAGGACUUGGAAAUUUGACUAAGCACAAAGUAGGAGAGCUUUGGCACAAAUGGUAAUUGUUGACGAGCUACUAGUUAGUUUUGUUGAAAAAGAAAGUUUUAAAAAGUUCAUGAAAGUAACAGUGCCACAAUUUCAUAUUCCUUCUCGUAAAACCUUGACUAGAGAUUGUUAUGAACUCUAUAGUGAACAAAGACAAGUUUUGAAGAAGGUUUUCAAAGAAGCACGUCCAAAAGUUUGUCUUACGACAGAUACUUAGACCUCUAUACAAAGAAUAACCUACAUGUGUCUGACAGCCCACUUUAUAGAAAGAAAUUAGACUUUGCAUAAAAGAAUAAUAAACUUUUGUCCUACUUCUAGUCAUAAGGGCGAGGAUAUGGCGGUUUCUGUUACUAAAUGUUUGUUGAAAGGGGUUUGGAUAAUGUUUACUAUUACAGCUGAUAAUGUUAGUUCUAAUGAUGUUACGGUGAAAGAAAUAUCUAAGCAAUUGAGUAAUUGGGGAACUAACAUAAUAGGGGGUGAACACCUUCAUGUGAGAUGUAUGGCACAAAUUCUUAAUUUUAUUGUGCAAUAUGGGUUGAAAGAAAUUGGUAAGUCUAUCAAACGAGUGAGACAAGCUGUGAAAUACAUUAAACAAUCUCCCUCAAGAAUUAGAAAGUUCAAAGAAUGUUGUGAAUCUCAAUUGAUAACUUGUAAGAACUCAUUAUGUUUAAAUGUUCCUACUCUGUGGAAUUCUACAUACUUGAUACUUGAUACAGCACAAUAUUUUGAGCUUGCUUUUGAAAGAUAUAGUUUUUAUGAUAUUGGAUUCUUGGAUCAUCUUCGUACCUAUCCUUGUGAAGUUGGAACUAGUGCAGGUAUUCUUACAAGUGAUGAUUGGGAAAAUGUGAGGUCAAUGGUAAAGUUACUUGAAACUUUUUAUCUUCUUACUUUGAAGGUCUCUAGUUCAAAGUAUAUCACUAUCAAUGUACAUUUUGUGGAAAUUGCUGAACUUAAUCUUAUUUUGUAAGAGAUGAUCGAAAAUGAAGAUGAUAAUUUAAAAGAAAUGGCAAAAAAUAUGAGGAUAAAGUUCAAGAAGUAUUGGGGUGAACCUGAGAAAUGAACAAGAUGAUCUUUAUUUCGUCUUGUUGGAUCCCCGUAACAAGCUUGAUUAUGUUCCUUUUGCAAUUGUGGAUAUGUUUGGAAAAGAUAUUGGGAACAAGCUAAUUGAAUCAGUGAAAACAUACAUGAAAUCUUUGUUUUGUUAUUAUGUUAAGAAUUCAUCAAAAUUCUCUUUAUUUUCAUCAUCUUCACCUACAUCAUCUGCCAACUCAUCAAGGAAAUCUAUUGUGAGUGAUUAUGGCAACUUUCAAAAAAAAGGAACAAUGAGAACAAAACAACAAUUUGAGAAGCAUAAAGAAGUUAGUGGAGGUUCAGGUAAUAAAAUGGAAUUGGAUAGAUAUCUUGUAGAAGAUAUUAAGUCAGAUAGUGAUGGCUUUGAUAUAUUAAUGUGGUGGAAAAUUAAUGAGCCGAGACUUCCCAUUCUUGUGGAGAUGGCUCGUGAUUUAUUAACCAUUCCUAUUUUGAAGCGUCGCAUCAGAAUGCACAUUCAACACAGGUAGUCGCAUUCUUGAUCCCUUUAGGAGAUCAUUGACUCCUAAACGUGUGAAACCUAUUAUUUAUCUUUAAGAUUGGCUUAGAAGUGAGCCGAUUCCAAUCAAUAUUGAGGACUAUUUGGAAUAAUUUGAGCAACUACAACUUGGUAAAAAUUUUAUAUUUUCAAUUCAUUAUAGUGAAAAUAAUUUUCUUACUUGUGUUUCAUAACAAUUAACAAGUUCUUUCAUUUUUUUAGAUAUGGCUUGUAGUGGAAAUGAAUCUAGUAUUGUGGAUAUGUAGUUACAUCUAUGUGUGGUAAGUAUAACACUUUUAUGUAUAGGUUAUUUGGUAGUUUUAUAUAUUUUACUAUGAAAUAUUUAUUAUUUGUCUAGAGAGUUUCAUUUUCUCGCAAUUUGGAUGUUAUUGCAGAUUUGCAGUGGUUGUUUAGUUGACCUAUAAACGUACAUCAUUGAAGCUAUAGAAGUUCAUUAUGUUUGUUUCCUUGUUAAUCUUUUGGAGUUUUGGUUGUUGAUGUUGUGGUGUUGCCUACUGGAAGGCUGGAAGCUAUAAAAGGAAAAAUAUUUUGUUAUUUUCAAAGCUAUAGAAUAUAGAAUAGAAGCGCUUGGUAAGUACCUCUUCAUCUGAAAAGACUAGGAGCAAUGCUGAUGUUGAUUACAGGACCUCUGUGCAGUUUUAAGCCUUGUUUUGCAUCAUACUUUAGUUCUUUUGUGUGAUGAAAAAAUGAUGCUUUACAUUUGAGUUCUUUUGUGUGAAGGAAAAAUGAUGCUUUUUUUAAGCAAUGCUUUAGUUCUUGCUGCAGCUCUUUAAGUAUAGAUAGCAACUGGCACAGCUUAUACUUUCCCUUUUAUUCCCCUAUUUUGAUAUCAGUUUGUGUUUUAGUCAGCAGUAGCGGAUUAUUAUUGAAGUGAUAAAUGAUAUUUGGAGAAUAUUACGAUUCUCCGAAGUUCCCGCCUUCCAGGCUUAGCGUGCAACAAGGAGAAAGUCAGCAGCAGUUGACUAUUGUAACAAGGAGCAGCAGCUGACUGUUGCUUCCUCUCAUUCUUUUUACAAUCUAAGUUAUGCCUUGCCUCAUCUUCCUCCUGUUAUUUAUCUAUUUAUUUGUUGAUUUCUAUGUUGGGGGUGGGUUUUCUGCUCUGUAUUAUCUGUAACCUUUCUAUAUUAUUAGUUAGUCAUAUUUUCUAUGCCUUGGAGACAGUCUUUCGGAAAGUGUAACGUGGUAUUGUUGAGAAAAUCAUACUUGUCAAAUGUAAGGUUCUUGUUGACGAGAGAAGAUAUAUCAUUUCGAGGGCUAGUGGAAAAAUCUCACAAACCAAAAACCGUAUCGUAAUAAACCGAACAAAAUCAAAUUUAUUUUAGUUUGAUUUGGAUUAACAUUUUCACCAAACAGAAAAUCAAAAAAUAGAACUGAAUUUUGUAAACUGCACCGAACCGACCGAACGCCCAGCCCUAGUCCACAGCCAAAUACCAUCAAUACACGGCCCAAUUCAAUAAUGAAAUGUGUGGCCGGUGGCCCAAUUCAAACCCAAUUCCAUAAUAUGCCAAAUUCCUAAAUUCAAAUACAUAACAGCUAAACUCUUAACUCUCUCCUUAGUCACUCACUCUCAGUCUUCGAUUCGUCUCUCCGAUUCUCCGACUAUCCCUCUCUCCCUCACUCAUCACUUCAAUCCAUCUCCACUCGGCCGGCGUACAUCAAGGAGAAAAUUUGCAGUGGUCUUAGGAUUUCGGACUGCUCGUCUACUACAUCAAGGACUGCUCGUUUUGGAUUAUUUUUGUGUUCUGGCAUCAGCUUUCAAAUCCAAGGGUACAAGUCUCCGAGUUCAUUUCAAGAUGGAAGAAAUUGGAAGUAGGGUAAGUGAAGGUGGGGAUUCAAAUGAAAGCUUACCUAACACUUCAUCUCCAAAUGAAGUCGAAUUUAAUGUUGAUACUUCAAAGAAAAUUCAUGGAACAUAGGGCUGCUUGUUGGAAGCAUUUUGGUAAGUUUACUAACGAAUUGAAGCUCCAAAAGCAAAAUGCAAGUAUUGUGGGAAAAUUUAUGCAGCUGCUACAAAAGGUAAUGGUACUAUGACAAUGAAUAAUCAUUUGUUGAAUAAGUGUCCUAAUCUUCUUCGGACCGUAGAUGAUGGUGAAAAAUUAUUAAGUUUUCUAUCAUCUUCAACGAAAGCAAAGGAAGGGGUGAUUAGUACCUGGAAAUUUGACCAAGCACAAAGUAGAAGAGCUUUAGCACAAAUGGUAAUUGUUGACGAGCUACCAUUUAGUUUUGUUGAGAAAGAAGGUUUUAAAAACUUCAUGAAAGUAACGGUGCCACAAUUUCAUAUUCCUUCUUGUAAAACCUUGACUAGAGGUUUUUGUGAACUCUAUAGUGGCAAAGACAAGUUUUAAAGAAGGUUUUCAAAGAAGCACGUCCAAAAGAUUGUCUUACAACAGAUACUUGGACCUCUAUACAAAGAAUCACCUACAUGUGUCUGAAAGCCCACUUUAUAGAUAGAAACUGGACUUUGCAUAAAAGAACAGUAAACUUUUGUCCUAUUUCUAGUGAUAAGGGCGAGGAUAUGGCGGUUUCCAUUACUAAAUGUUUGCCUGAAUAGGGUUUGGAUAAUGUGUUUACUAUUACAAUUGAUAAUGCUAGUUCUAAUGAUGUUACGGUGAAAGAAAUGUCUAAGAAAUUGAGUAAUUGAGGAACUAACAUAAUGGGGGGGGGGGGGGGUUGAACACCAUCAUGUGAGAUGUAUGGCACAUAUUCUUAAUCUUAUUGUGCAAGAUGGGUUGAAAGAAAUUGGUAAGUCUAUCAAACGAGUGAGACAAGCUGUGAAAUACAUUAAAUAAUCUCCCUCAAGAAUUAGAAAGUUCAAAGAAUGUUGUGAAUCUUAAUUGAUAACUUGUAAGAAAUCAUUAUGUUUAGAUGUUCCUAUUCGGUGGAAUUCUACAUACUUUAUGCUUGAUACAGCACAAUAUUUUGAGCUUGCUUUGGAAAGAUAUAGUUUUUAUGAUAUUGGAUUCUUGGAUCAUCUUCGUACCUAUCCUUGUGAAGAUGGAACUAGUACAGCUAUUCUUACAAGUGAUGAUUGGGAAAAUGUGAGGUCAAUGGUAAAUAUUCUUGAAACUUUUUAUCAUCUUGCUUUAAAGGUCUCUGGUGCAAAGUAUGUCACUAACAAUGUGCAUUUUGUGGAAAUAUUUGAACUUGAUCUUAUUUUGAAAGAGAUGAUGGAGAAUGAAGAUGGUAAUGUGAAAGAAAUGGAAAAAAAUAUGAGGAUAAAAUUCAGAAAGUAUUGGGGUGAAUCAGAGAAAAUGAACAGGAUGAUCUUUAUUUCAUCUGUGUUGGAUCCCCGUAACAAGCUUGAUUAUAUUUCUUUUGCAAUUAAGGAUAUGUUUGGAAAAGAUAUUGGGAACAAGCGAAUUGAAUCAGUGAAAAUAUGCAUGAAAGCUUUAUUUGGUUAUUAUGUUAAGAAGUAAUAAAAGGCUCUUUAUUUCCAUAAUCUUCACCUACAUCAUCUGGCAAUUCAUCAAGUAAAUCUAUUGUGAGUUAUUAUGAGAACUUUCAAAAAAAGGAACAAUGAGAACAAAACAAUAAUUUGAGAAGCAUGAAGAAGUUAGUGGAGGUUCAGGUAGUAAAUCGGAAUUGGAUAGAGAUAUUUCCGAAGAUAUUAAGUCAGAUAGUGAUGGCUUUGAUAUAUUAAUGUGGUGGAAAGUUAAUGAGCCGAGAUUUUCCAUUUUUGCGUAGAUGGCUCGUGAUGUGUUUGCCAUUUCUAUUUCAAGCGUUGCAUCAGAAUGCGCAUUCAACACAGGUGGUCGCAUUCUUGAUCCCUUUAGCAGUUCAUUGACUCAUAAACUUGUGCAAUCUCCUAUUUGUCUUCAAGAUUGGCUUAAAAGUGAGCCUAUUCCAAUCAAUAUUGAGGAAGAUUUAGAGUAUCUUGAGCAACUUGAACUUGUAAAAAUGAAUCUAGUAUUGUGGAUAUGUAGUUACACCUAUCAACUAGUGACGUGUGAUUUGCAGUGGUUGUUUGGUUGAGCUAUAAACGUACAUCACUGUGUUGUUGUUUUCUAAGUUGCUGCCUAGUGGAACUAGAGGUUAUAGAAGUGCAUUAUGUUUGUUGCCUUAUUGGUCUUUUGGAGUUUUGGUUGCUGAUGCUGCGGUGCUGCCUACUGGAACGCUGGAAGCUAUAGAAAGAAAAAUAUUUUGUUAUUUUCAUAGCUGACAGAAUAUAGAAUAGAAGUGCUUUGUAAGUACCUCUUCAUAUGAAAUAACUAGGAGCAAUGCUGCUGUUGAUUACAAGACCUUUGUGCAGCUUUAAGCCUUGUUUUGCAUUAUACUUUAGUUCUUUUGUGUAAUGGAAAAAUUAUGCUUUACAUUUGAGUUCUUUUGUGUGAAGGAACAAUGAUGCUUUUUUUAGCAAUGCUUUAGUUCUUGCUACUCCUGUUUGGGUAUAGAUAGCAACUGGCACAGCUUGUACUUCCCCUUUUAUUCCCCUGCUUGGAAAUCAAUUUGGGUUUUUGUCAGCAGCAGCUGACUAUUAUUGAAGUGAUAAAUGAUAUUGGAGAGAAUGUUGGGAUUCUUCCAAGUUCCAGCCUUCCAGGCAUAGCUUGCAACAAGGAGAAAGUCAGCAGCAGUUGACUGUUGCAACAAGAAGCAGCAGCUGACUGUUGCUUCCUCUCUUUCUUAUUACAGUUUAAGUUAUGCCUUGCCUCAUCUUCCUCCUGUUAUUUAUCUAUUUAUUUGUUGAUUUCUAAGUUGGGGGUGGGUUAAUAUGCUCUGUAUUAUUUGUAAGCUUUCUCUAUUAUUUCUUAGUCAUAUUUUCAAUACCUUUGAGACAGUCUUUCAGAAAGUGUAAUGAGGUAUUAUUGAGAAAAUCAUACUUGUCAAAUGUAAAGUGCUUGUUCACAAGAGAAGAUAUAUCAUUUCGAGGCAAGUGGAAAAAUCUGACAAACCAAAAAUAGAACCAAAAUUGUAAAAUCGAACCAAAUCGAAUUUAUUUUAGUUUGGUUUGGAUUAACAUUUUCACCAAAUUGAAAAUCGAAAAAUCGAAUCGAAUUUUAUAAAUCGGAUUGUUUCUGAUCCGGAAUUUGCAACACAACAAAAGUAGAAGCAUGCUAUGUUAAUGCUAGCAUAGAAUAGUUGUACCCAGUGAAAACUGCUUUUCUUAGGAUGAACAGCCCUAGUCCACAGUCCAACUCCAUCCAUAUACGUCACAAUUCAUUUAUGAAAGGUGUGGCCGGUCGCCCAAUUCAAACCCAAUUCCAUAAUAUCCCAAAAUCUCAAAUUCAAAUCCCUAAACAGCUAAACUCUAAACUCUCUCGUUAGUCUCUCAAACUAAGUCGUCAACUCGUCUCUCCCACUCUCUCUCACUCGUCACUUCAGUCUGUCUCCACACGGCUGUCGCAAUAUCAAGGAUCAAACUCGCAGUCGACUGCUCGUCUGCUACAUCAAGAAUUGCUCGUUUUGAGUUUUGUUUGUGUUCUGGCAUUAGCUUGCAAAUCCAGGGGUUCAUGUCUCCGAGUUCAUUUCAAGAUGGAAGAAAUUGGAAGUAGGGUAAGUGAAGGUGGGGAUUCAAAUGAAAGCUUACCUAACACUUCAUCUCCAAAUGAAGUCGAAUUUAAUGUUGAUACUUCAAAGAAAAUUCAUGGAACAUAGGGCUGCUUGUUGGAAGCAUUUUGGUAAGUUUACUAACGAAUUGAAGCUCCAAAAGCAAAAUGCAAGUAUUGUGGGAAAAUUUAUGCAGCUGCUACAAAAGGUAAUGGUACUAUGACAAUGAAUAAUCAUUUGUUGAAUAAGUGUCCUAAUCUUCUUCGGACCGUAGAUGAUGGUGAAAAAUUAUUAAGUUUUCUAUCAUCUUCAACGAAAGCAAAGGAAGGGGUGAUUAGUACCUGGAAAUUUGACCAAGCACAAAGUAGAAGAGCUUUAGCACAAAUGGUAAUUGUUGACGAGCUACCAUUUAGUUUUGUUGAGAAAGAAGGUUUUAAAAACUUCAUGAAAGUAACGGUGCCACAAUUUCAUAUUCCUUCUUGUAAAACCUUGACUAGAGGUUUUUGUGAACUCUAUAGUGGCAAAGACAAGUUUUAAAGAAGGUUUUCAAAGAAGCACGUCCAAAAGAUUGUCUUACAACAGAUACUUGGACCUCUAUACAAAGAAUCACCUACAUGUGUCUGAAAGCCCACUUUAUAGAUAGAAACUGGACUUUGCAUAAAAGAACAGUAAACUUUUGUCCUAUUUCUAGUGAUAAGGGCGAGGAUAUGGUGAUUUCCAUUACUAAAUGUUUCCUUGAAUGGGAGGUUGGAUAAUAUGUUUACCAUUAUAGUUGAUAAUUCUAGUUCUAAUGAUAUUACGGUGAAAGAAAUGUCUAAGCAAUCGAGUAAUUGGGGAACUAACAUAAUAGGGGGUGAACACCUUCAUGUGAGAUGUAUGGCACAUAUUCUUAAUCUAAUUGUGCAAGAUGGGUCUAAAGAAAUUGGUAAGUCUAUCAAGCGAGUGAGACAAGCUGUGAAAUGCAUUAAACAAUCUCCCUCAAGAAUUAGAAAGUUCAAAGAAUGUUGUGAAUCUCAAUUGAUAACUUGUAAGAAAUCAUUAUGUUUAGAUGUUCCUACUCUAUGGAAUUCUACAUACUUGAUGCUUGAUACAGAACAACAUUUUGAGCUUGCUUUUGAAAGAUAUAGUUUUUAUGAUAUUGGAUUCAUGGAUCAUCUUCGUACCUAUCCUUGUGAAGAUGGAACUAGUGCAUGUAUUCUUACUUUUGAUGAUUGGGAAAAAGUGAGGUCAAUGGUAAAGUUUCUUGAAACUUUUUAUCUUUUUACUUUGAAGGUCUCUAGUUCAAAGUAUGUCACUAACACUGUGCAUUUUGUGGAAAUUGCUGAACUUGAUCUUAUUUUGCAAGAGAUGAUGGAAAAUGAAGAUGGUAAUUUGUAAUAAAUGGCAAAAAAAUAUGAGGAUAAAGUUCAGAAAGUAUUGGGGUGAACCGGAGAAAAUGAACAAGAUGAUCUUUAUUUUAUCUGUGUUAGAUCCCCAUAACAAGCUUGAUUAUGUUCCUUUUGCAAUUGUGGAUGUGUUUGAAAAAGAUAUUGGGGACAAGCUAAUUGAAUCAGUGAAAAUAUACAUGGAAGCUUUGUUUGGUUAUUAAGUUAAGAAGUCAUCAAAAGGCUCUUUAUUUCCAUCAUCUUCACCUACAUCAUUUGGCAACUCAUCAAGUAAAUCUAUUGUGAGUGACUAUCGCAACUUUCAAAAAAAAGGAACAAUGAGAACAAAACAACAAUUUGAGAAGCAUAAAGAAGUUAGUGGAGGAUCAGGGAGUAAAUCAGAACUGGAUAGAUAUAUUGCCGAUGAUAUUAAGUCAAAUAGUGAUGGCUUUGAUAUAUUAUUGUGGUGGAAAGUUAAUGAGACGAGAUUUCUCAUUCUUGCGUAGAUGGCUCAUGAUGUGUUAGACAUUCCUAUUUCAAGCGUCGCAUCAGAAUGUGCCUUCAGCAUAGAUAUGGCUUUUGGUGAAAAUGAAUCUAGUAUUGUGGAUAUGUAGUUACACCUAUCAACUAGUGACGUGUGAUUUGCAGUGGCUGUUUGAUUGAGCUAUAAAUGUACAUCAUUGUGUUGUUGCUUUCUAAGUUGUUGUCUGCUGGAACUAGAAGCUAUAGAAGUGCAUUAUGUUUGUUGCCUUAUUGGUCUUUUGGAGUUUUGGUUGUUGAUGAUGCGGUGCUGCCUACUGGAAGGCUGGAAGCUAUAGAAGGAAAAAUAUUUUGUUAUUUUCUUAGCUAUAGAAUAUAGAAUAGAAGUGCUUGGUAUGUACCUCUUCAUCUGAAAAGACUAGGAGCAAUGCUGCUGUUGAUUACAGGACCUCUGUGCAGCUUUAAGCCCUAUUUUGCAUCAUACUUUAGUUCUUUUGUGUGAUGGAAAAAUGAUGCUUUACAUUUGAGUUCUUUUGUGUGAAGGAAAAAUGAUGCUUUUAUUUUUAACAAUGCUUUAGCUGUUGCUGUUGUUUGGGUAUAGAUAGCAACUGGCACAGCUUGUACUUCCCCUUUUAUUCCCCUGCUUGGAAAUCAAUUUGGGUUUUUGUCAGCAGCAGCUGACUAUUAUUGAAGUGAUAAAUGAUAUUGGAGAGAAUGUUGGGAUUCUUCCAAGUUCCAGCCUUCCA